AAAAAAAAAGGUAAGAAGCAAAGACGGAGUUCUAAGGGAGGUUUAAAUGUUGUUUGGAUGGAAAGAAAGAGAAAUAUAAAUUUUUUCCCUUUCUUUUCUUGUUCAUACAACUUUAGAUUCAAUCUUAAUAUAUAUGAUCUGAAUUUUCAAUAAAAUUUAAAAGAAAAUAAAUGAAACUGGAUGAAAAGGAGAAGAAUACCUAUACAUAUAUAUGUCACGACCAGGAGCUAAGCGGCGAUUACAAAGCCAACAAGCUCGCAAAAAAGGAGCAGCGGCAGUGGUGCCGCUGUCGAUGACAUGGCUAGUAAAAGAAGCUGGGUUUCUGGGCGACACCAUGGCCAAGAAGCGUUGAUCGUAACGGGAGUUAGCGUCGGGGGAUUCAUGCAAAGGGUGGAUUUGAGGGGGAGGAUGGGAUAUGAUUGGGUCUUGGUGGUGGUCGACGACAUCGACGGUGAUGCCCGUCAUGCUUGUCGUCCUCUUGAUCGGCUGACGUGAGCGUUUUCCGAGCAUCAUCCUGCUAUAUAUAUGUAUGCGUAUUGGCUUAAUUUCUCUCUUGUUUUUGCUCUAGUGAAUAGCAAAGAGAGUGGGAAUGGAAGGAAAAGCGAGGUGGGGGAGAUAAAUUAAGGGUGAGAGGAUUGAAAUGUAAAACAUGGUUGAUUAUGCAUAUUUUAACCUUUAGGGAAGAAUCGAGGGAAUCUUUGGCACCCUCAGCUGGAAGUUUUUAAAUACGAAAGAGAUUCUUUUGGAGUUUUGGGAAGGUUAGUUAUUUAAUUAAAUAAAAGUCCAUUAUUGCUAUGUGUCGGGUUGCUGGCAUUGCUUUUACAAGCCUUGACAUUUUGUUGCUAAUGUCCCAUCUUUCUUUUCUCACCUUUGGAACACCCCUACUCCUUUUUCAUCUCUCUACCAAUCUUAGGAAUUCCAAUUUCAUAAUAACACUUUUAAAAGCUUUAAUUUAAGUUUUAAAUGUUUGAUGUUGGUGUUAAAAAUGUUUUUGAGAAAUAAAAUAUGUUGUGAGUGAAAAUAUAUAUAUUUAAAUGGCAUUUAAAUUUGUUAAUAUUGUGACAUUUCAAUAAAAGAUAAUUUUGUUGAUACAUAGUAUCAAUGGAGGUAAAUGAGGAGGAGAUGGGCAGUAUCGAAGAAGAUCAGUUCAACCACUCUAGGGUUGAAAGCCAAAAAAAAUAAAGACUCUUUUUUUCUCUCUAGACCCUGAUACGUUAAGCAUUCAUCCUAAGUUUAUUUACUUUUUUGGCUUUCAACCCUAGAGUGGGUGAACCGGCCUUCCUCGACACCGCCCCCUUUCCUCCUCCUUUGUCUCUGUUGAUCCUGUGUAUCAACAAAUUUAUUGUAACCUACUAUUAGUAUUUUGAUAUAUGAAAUAUGAAAUUUAAAUAUUAAAAAAAAACAAUUAUUUGUAAAACUUAAUUUGAGUAUAUAAAUUAUAUUUUAAAUAUAUAACAUUGGUUUCUAAAAUAUACAAUUUGAUUAACAAUGGAUUAUAAUUAGUUAAAUAUCUUAAAUAUAAUUCAUUCAACUCAAUGAACUUUUGUUUCUUAGUAUUAGGGGAUCUUUAAUUUCGCACUUUUUCUUUAGAAUUUUGAGGUACACCCACUACAGUCUAUAAUAUAUAACUUAGCCUUAAAUCAUGGUCCAAAUGCUACAAUGUUGACAACUUGGGAAAUCACUACAAAAUUCCUAGGCUUUUAAUAUCAAAUCUAACGUAAUUUGGAGUUUAAUUAAUCUCAAAUUUCAUUGAAAUUAAAUUUAGGUUUGGUUUUAGUUGUCACGAUAAUUUGAGUUUCCUUAAUUUAAUUUUCCUCAAAUUGAGCUUAAUAAAUGUUGCAGCUAUAUAGAUCUAAUUCGAUUGAAAAGAAUGAACAAAAGUGAUUUAAUUUAUAAUUUAUAAUAUAAACGUUAGGUUAGGGAAACUUUUAAACAAAUUAAUCGUUUGUUGUUCAUUGUAUUAUUGAUUUUUCCAUUUUAAAAUUUUCUUUGCUAUUCAUAAGAUUUAUAACAUUUAUAAAUAAAAUUUUUAUUUUAUUUAAAUAUUUUGUUAAAUAAAUUUAUUUAAAAGGAAGGUUUGACACUUAUAGAGGAAAAACGUUAAAAUUUAUAUUAAUUUAUUUUUUAUUUUUUCAUAAGCAAGAAAUAUAAAAGAAAAUUAUAUAAUUACUUUAUUUUUAAAUAUUAAAAUUUAAUUAUGUAUAUCAUAACUAACUCUUAACUUCUUAUUUAUUAAAGAUUCCCUUUUUUUAAUUAAAUUUAUGUGAAUGUUUUUAAAUGCUAAAUAUUUUUUUUUUAAAUUCUCCUUUUUUCUCUAAGUCUGAUUAUUUUUUCUAUUUUGUUUUGCUUAACCGCGAUGUUAACUUUUGGGCCGGCUACUAUCCACCUUUUUUCUCUCCCUCUCAUCAAUUUUCUCGUUUUUUUUUCUUAUUCUCAUUCACUCUAUGUGUUUUCUCUCUUUUAGUUUGCAGAUCUAUUUUGUGGAUGUCUCUGCUGUCUUCACAAGUUGUGAUAGACAAAUGACAUUGCCUAUCGUCACUGAAACUCCACCAGCCAUCAACAGUUUCUCUUGGAAAGUGGGUGGCUUUUUAUCAGCUUCUUAAUUUGUUUCUAUUUUGAAAGUAUUUCAGAAUAAUAAAUGAUUUCACGAGUCGAUUUGGACCCGUCUUAAGUUUUAUAUGUUCUUUUGUUUAUUUUUAUUAUUUAGUAAGUUUUCACUUUUAGAGAUUUUUGUUUACUUUUGUAGCACGUUUUUAGUCUUAUUUUAUGCAUGUAAUCUUGCUUUUACAAGUGAUUUUAAGGAUGGUUUUGUCGUCGUCCUCUCCAAUUUAAUUGAUGCUCGAUUUUUACCCGUCGCUUUGGACCGUUCAAAGUUGAUUCCUUAUCCUAUUAAGUGUUUGCAAUCACUCUAGAUAUAUCAUCCUUGAGUUGUGGCAGAGUCAAUUGCCAAUGUGUCAUAAUGUUCUAUGAUGCUGAGGUUGAAGCCUUUGUUGUAUUAAUAGAGCUUGUCAUGUACCACUUACAACAAGUAAUUAUUAAUUUUUUUUUUUUUUGAAUUAUAUAGUUCCAUUCUUUCAAUUUCUUUUUUAUUCGCGAAGGUUACCUUUCAACUAUGAGUUGAAAAACUAUUCAGUCUACUGAUAACAAAUUUGAAAGAUGAACUUUUAGUUUUGAACUCUUAUAUUUAGUUGGUAAAAAGGGAAUUUUUAGUUAAUAAACGUUUAUUUAAUUUCAAUGUAAAAUAAGGAAGAAGAGAAAAAUAGAAAAGAAAGGAAAACAUAAACAUAUAAUUUUAUAUGAAAAUGAACAGAAUUAAACGUAAACGCAAGGAAGAAGAGAGCUAUGGUGACGUGAUGACUAGAAAUUAGUUGUAUCUCUAAAAUUCAUACUGACUUCAAUAAAAAAAAAUCAAAAUUAAGAUAUUUAUCAAUGGAUUAAUUCUUUUUUCGUAAGCACUUUCUAAAAAGAUAAACGAUUGGUCAUGAAAUCUUGUUUUAUUUUGAUGGGCAGAGAUCAAAUCCAUUAUCACAUGGUUAAGGGAUAAAGUAAACAACUACUGCGGAUAAUAAUAGUAAAAUAGAAAAAAUUAUCUUUAACAUACUUAACUUUUUUAACUAACUAGAAAUUUAAUAUUGAUCAAUAAAAAAAUGUAAAACUAUUUAGUUUUACAUGGGUAAGUAUUAUAAUUACCAAUCAAAUACUUGAACUAAAAGCAAACAGAAUAAAUUUCAAGUAUGAAGAUUGGAGGAAUAAUUGAAAAAAAGAAAAGAAAAAGAAAUCAAGCUGGUGGACAUCCAAAGCCACUCCUUCCAAGUUCUUGCAUAUGCCACAGCCUAUAAAUUAUUACAUAACUUCGUUGUCAGGUUUAACAAUAAUUGUUAUUUUAAUGAUUUUACAUUUGAUAUAUCAUCAUAGUCAAUAUUAAUAAGUAUUUUAUUAUUUUAUGCAAUAAUGCAACUAGAUCUUGAGGGAUUAAUAAAUGGAGCCGAUGGCCCCUCUAAGUAGCAAAUAGCUGGCCACUAAUUAUCGUAUUUUGAAGUCUCUUUCUUCAUAAAAUAAAAUAAAUCAAUUAAGCAGUUUAAGCCUUGCUUAAUGCUUGUUAAGAAAAUCCUUUGUUUUAAAUCUUUUUUUGUGUUAUGGUUUGAAAAUCUCAAGGCUAAUGUUGGAGUAUUGGGUGUCAAGCCAUCUCCGUGCUUCCUGCCAGGGUUUAAUAAUAAAAUUGUUUACUUUAAAUAAAAAAACACCGUUUAUGUAGACUGAAACUUGGACAAAAGAUUUCACAAAUUUGGUCUCUCUUCCUUCAAAAUAACUAUUUAAUAAUUACAUUAUUUUGAAUGACCUACGAUUUUGACCGUCAACAGGUUUAACAUUGAGUUAAAGUAUUUUUAUUCGAUUUUAUCUUUGAAUUUUAUUUUUCAAUUUUAAUGAGAGUCCGUGUUAAUAAAAAUGGCACUUCACAAAUUUCUCUCUAAAUGAUCAAAAUUACCUCAACAAACAUGUAUUUUCUUAGAGUUGAGUGACUCAAAUCCUUAUUAAAAUAAAAUACAGUGGUAAAAUAAAAUAAAAGUAAAAUUCAUAUAGAAUUAUACUUCUUUUAUUUUACAUUGAUUAGAAUAAGGUUUUUCAACCUUACUAUACUUUAUCUAAUUGACAUUGAUUAGAAUAAGGUUUUUUCAACCUAUAAAUAGAUGUAGUCUAAACUCCUCUUGUAUCAUUCAAAUUCAACAUUAGUAAAUUUUCUUCUCCCCUACCCGUGGUUUUUUCCUGAAAGGGUUUCCACGUAAAAUCUGUGUGUUUUUAUUUUUUCCUUCUUUUUACUUUGAGAUCAUUCUAUAUUGUCAUUAUCAAUGUUAGUUUUUACAAACUGGUAUCAGAGCUUUUCAGGUUGCUUAUCUUGAUCACGGUAAUAGCGACAUUGAAGUAUGAUAUUCUGCUGUUGGAUCGCAAUACCAGAUUCAUGUUGUGGCAAAUAAAGAUGCAAGCAGUUCUUGCGCAAAUAGAUUUAGAGGAUGCCUUGCUAGGGGUAAAUAAGAUGCCUUCAAUAUUGAAGGAUAAAGAGAAGAAGCGUAAAGAUCGAAAAACUUUAAAGCAAUUACAUCUACAUUUUUCGAAUGAAAUUCUACAAGACAUGAGGAAGGAGAAAACCGCUGCAAAUCGAUUUUAGUUGCACCUUUCAUAUGAGUCCCAAUUAGGAUUGGUUUACAAUAUAUGAAACAAUGUUUGAAGGUGUUGUUUUGAUGGGAAAUAAUGCUUCAUGUAAAAUCACAGGUAUUGGCACGAUCAAAAUUAAAAUGUUCGAUGGAGUCGUCAAAACACUUAGUGGGAUAUGAUAUGUACUGUAAUUGAAGAUGAAUUUGAUUUCAUUGCGUAAUCUUGAUUCAAAAGGGCACAAGUAAAUAACUGAAAGUGGGGUUUUAUAAUUAGCAAGGGUGUAACACCCUAAACCCGGCCUAGACAUUAUGGUCGAAUCUGGCGAUGUCACAUGGAAUGGGAUUUGAAGAUAAGAUUGUCGAGUUAAAAUCGUUACAGUUAGUUAGCUUUUAUUUACUUCAAAAAAAAUAAGUGCUAGUUGAUUUGCUUUAAAACUUGUCCCUUAGCGGAAGCUUUUGUAACCAAUUAAUUUAGGGAAAAUCAUUUAUAUUUACGAAAACCUUAGUUUUUAGACAAAUCGUGUUUUGUUGAGUUGCAGUUUAAAAAUAAUCCAUAAAAACAGUAUAAAGUCCCAAAUUUAAAGCCAACCAAUCCAUAGUCCAAAAUUUAUAUCAAAAACACCAAAUAAGUACUAAAUUCUAGACAUUAACGGAAAAUAGUCUAAAAUUUAUGUGUGGCCACUGUCGAGCCCUUCGCUGCACAGACCUGUCAAGUCUGGGGAAUAUCUGUACAGAUUAGAUAGAAAAAGGUGAGUGUUCAUAAACUCAGUAUGUAAUCCCCACAGAAAACAUGCAUACAGAUAUUCAACAGCAUUCUAUUAGAUACAGUCUGGGGCCUGGGCCCAUCAUAGAAUUAGUUUGGACCUUAGCUCGUUCAAAUACAGUCUCAGAAAUACAUUAGGGCCUUGACCCAUAUUAGAUACAAAAUGCAGAUACAGUAAAUUAGAAUCCUACCCACCAACCUCUACACAUCAUCUCCGUCCAACCCUACACACCAUAUGGGGAUUAAAUCAACUCACCCAUCCCUACACACCAUGCUGUACCGAAAUGCGGCACAUAAUCAGAAAGUUGCAACUGAGCUGCCAGAUAACAGGCUUAAUAGCCUUUCAGACACUUCCUCCAAAUAUCAUCAACCCACCCCGAUGCAAUGCAUCAUGCAAAAUAUGCCAUGCCAUUAUGCAAUUAAUAGUACAUAUAUUCAGAUAUCAUAAGUCAUGCUCGGUAUAGAAAUCAAACAGACAGAUCACACAUAUAGGGGUCUAAGUAAAGCUUACUGACCCUACAGUAGGUCCACAGUCGACUUGGACGACCCGUGUAACCUUACAGAACUUUUCAGAAAAAUGGGCUCACACGCCCAUGUGGCCUGCCCGUGUGGCCCAUUCGGCCAAAUUACCCUUGGUCGCAUGGUCCAUUUUUAAUGUAACAUGUGCUAGCUAAAUAUUCAUAUAUAUUUUCACUAUUUACUUAUACGUUCCUUCAAAGCUGUCUACUUGAGUCACUGUUACUAAAUUAUUUAUAUCUUGAGCCACAGAAUUCCAAAUUAAGAUUUGCUCAAUGUCUUUAAAACUAGACUCAAAUACCUUUCUACCAUAAAAUUUUCAAAAUUUUUGGUUCAUCCAAUAAGUAUAGUAAAAUCUUCAAACUUACCCUUGUUUUGUUGUCUGACAGCUUCAACCUUUCUUUACUAAAAAUUAAUUAUCUCUCAGUAAAAAAUUUGGAUGAUAUUUCCAUUUGUUUCUAUUGAAAAUAGACUUAUUAAUAAUUUAAACAUGUAAAUUUUAACCCCUAAUUAUUUUUCUCCAAUUUUUGAUGAUUUUCCAAAGUCAGAACAGGGGAACCUGAAUUCAUUUUGACCUUGUCUCACAAAAUUUAUUAUAUCUCACGAUUUACAAUUCUAUUACUUACAUCGUUUCUUCUAUGAGAAACUAGACUCAAUAAGAUUUAAUUUCAUAUUUGUUCAUUCUCUAAUUCGAUUUCCACAAUUUAUGGUGAAUUUUCAAAUUUAGCCUGCUGCUGCUGUCCAAACAGUAAGCAAUUUUGACUUUUUGUCGAACCCCAUUUUCUGUGUUUCGGGUACAUACCUAGUUUUGUUUGAUGCUAAAACAGUCCUUGAGCACUCCAAAGCCUAUAAUUGAACAAAUAACACUAAUUUAAUCUCCUAUAACGUGAUCCCAAAUCGAACUCGUAUCGAGGUUUUAACCCAUAAGCGACUAAACCUUACCUUAAACUGAUAAACAAUAAUUCCCAUACAAACUAAGACUCUGAUUGGUGAUUAUCCCUUGAACCCUCCCCUAAUUGGCAUAAAUAAAACACUUCAGAAGAAAGUUAACAAAUGGAGACAAAUCACUUAUCUAAAACUUACCGAACGAUCGUAGACAAACGUGGAGCGACACGAGGCAGAGUGGGAAAAGAAAAAUCAAGAAGAUGAAGGGUAACAAAGAACAGAAAUUCGACAGCAAUGAAGAGAAAAACGACAAGAGGGUGGAGGGAUAAUGGGAAAAGUAAAAAACAAAAAACAAAAAAAAGACAAAUAGAAUAUUUGAUAACCACCCUAAUCCCUUAUUUCUCUCCUUCAAACUCCCCACUAAAUCCACUACUCAGAUUUUUAGUCCAUCUCAAACUCUCCUGGACGCACGAGCAAAAAUAAUGCCCAUACCAAGAUUCGAACACAGGACCUCCUUCACACCAACAUUCCACUUAUUCACCAAACCAGCAGGCCCAUUCUGUUAAUUAUUUGCCAACUUUUACUUAAAAACCUACUGACCAAAGAUAGAGCUUAUUCAUACAAAUACCAAAAUUUGCUCAAGUCCUAGCUUGAACUUGGGACUUCCCAAACACACCCAGAACACAUAACCACUAAAGCAGAUAGAUAUUUUGAGUCACACAUUCACAAUACCCAAAAUUAAAAUUUUGGGGUGUUACAAAAGGUUCGUUCAUUGUGAUGAAAGGGCAGAUAAAGACUAUCAAGUUAUAUGUUUUGCAAGGUUCUAUUGUUACUAGUGAUGCAAUCGUCGCUUCCUCCUCCUUGUCAGAUGAUGAUGUUACUAGACUUUGACAUAUGCAUCUAGGGCAUAUAAGUGAAAAUGACAUCGCAGAAUUGAGCAAAAGAUGACUUCUUGAUGAACAAAGCAUUAGCAAACUGAAGUUUUGUGAGCAUUACAUUUUUGGGAAGCAAAAGAGAGUUCGAUUCACCAAAUGAAUCCAUAACACGAAGGGAGCACUGGAUUAUAUUCAUUUUGAUCUUUGGGGACCAUCGAGGGGUGGCGUUAAUUAUAUGUUAAUGACCAUUGAUGGUUUUUCCAGAAAAGUUUUUGCAUCCUUCCUGAAGCAGAAAAGUGACGUGUUUUCUGCGUUUAAGGCUUGAAAAACUAUGCUCGAGAAGCAAAAAGGAAAACAGAUAAAACACCUUCGCACAGAUAAUGGCUUGGAAUUCUACUCUGAUGAGUUUAAUAAAUUGUGCAUAUCAGAAUGAAUCAUGAGACACUUGAUAGUUUGUCAUACUCUAUAACAAAAUGGCAUUACAAAACGGAUGAAUAGAACAAUCAUGAAAAAUGUAACGCCUCAAAUUUUUGAACUGUUUUUUGUUAAUUUCUGUUAAUAAUUAACUAUCUACUUCAGUGGCUAAGUGUUUUGUUUGUGUGUUUGAAAUCAGGGGUUCAACUAUCGCUUUUAGAUACUUUUGUUAUUCUUUUGAUUCAACAUUUACUCUGGACUUUUGACUUAAGUUAAAUUAUGUGUAAAUUUGUAUCAAGAAUAAGCCUGUUGGUUCAAUCAUUAAGCUCUUGUAUACCUUUGGUCUUAUGCUUGAGUCUCUACGAAAGCAAUAAGAAAAUAUUUUAUACUAAUUCGUAAAAUUUGAUUUUUUUUAAUUUAUGAAAUCAUUUUUCGAUUUUCCCUUUUCAUAUGUUUUUACGUUUUUGUUUUCUUUUUCUUUUUUCUUUUUCCCUUUUUCCUUUCUUCUUAUUGUUUUCUUUUCUCCUUUAUUUUGUUUUCGUUCCCUUUUAUUUUUUUCAUUAAUCUUGCUACUAUUUUAUCGAAGGAAUUGUGUAGUUGUUGUAUUCGACUGUUAAGUUAUCAGCGUAAGUUGGUUGUUAAAGUUCUGUUAACAUUGCUUGUUUGUUAAUUGUCAAAUCGAAUUUUUCUGUUCGUUUUGUUUAAUUGCUCUUUUUUAAAUGUUUAAUUUGUUCUUGUUCUUAGGUGAAGAGACUGCUUGUCAAGAUCCUCCACCAGUUUAGGUGCUUGGGUUGAUGUUUUUCAAACAAGGGUAUGCGAUAAGUUGUAUUUAGGGUUUUUGGGUCGAAAGUUUGACAAAACUUUGAUCGUGAAUGCAUUUGUUGUUGAAUUAGUUUGGAAAUCAUUUGAUUGAGCAACUGGCUUUUUUUUUUUAGGUUCCGGUACUAUCUGCGCUGCUUCCUUAUUGAAACCAUAUCAAGUGUAUAAUAAAAACCCAAAUUUUAGCGAUUUUUGAACAUCGAAAAACAUGGUUGUCCACGCCACACGACCGUAUGCCAUGUAACUCACUGUUUAGAAUUUAUAGUCACACGGGCUAAAGACACGGACAUGUGUCCAGGCCAUGUAAUUCAUUGUUUUGAAUUUAGGGUCAAACGGGCCAGAGACACGGGCUUGUGUCCAAGCCGUGUAACUCACUGUUUUGGGAAUUUGAGUCAUACUGCCGUGUGCUAGGCCGUGUGACAGGUUGUAUGUGUUAAUGAGCUAGGCUACAUGGAUAUGUGCUAGGCCAUGUAGACCACAUGGGCCAGCCAUCUUGGUCGUGUGAAUCUACACGAGUGUGUGUGUAAAAAAUUAAAAAUUUUCCCUAGGGCCGUAAUUGUCAUUCGAAUCGAACAUAGGCCUUCCGUAGGGUUAGUAAGCUCUGAAUUAGGCUAUAAAACUUAUUAUCUGAUGAUUUUUUAGUGGAAAUUUAUUUAUAUGAACAUAUAUCUACUGGGUUAAUUGAUGAGCAAGCAUGUUUUAUAUUGUCUGGAUCUGUACCACUGUAUACGCAUGUUUGAUAUCUAUUAAUCAUGCAUCCGCAUUGGGAUAAGAUAUGUGAUAAAGAAGGAAGUGUGGACAAUUUAAUUAUCUGUUGAUUCUGGUGGUUAAGCCACAUAUACAUUUCUGAUUCUAGCAAGUUAUUACAUUCGAUCUGGCAGCUAGUCUGUAAUGUUCUGAAUGUAACUUACAGUCACUAUCAGGUGUGUAGGGAUGGAUGGGUAUUUGAUGCCCUAUUUAGUGUGCAAGGGUGGUUAAAGAUGGUGUGUAAUGGAUAAGGUAGGACUCUACAUUUGUAUCUGAAUUUGUAAUUGUAUCUGAUAUGUUUUGUAUCUAAAUCUGUAAGUGUAUCUGGUAUGUUCUGUAUCCAUUUCUAAUUAUGAUAUUCGACUAAAUAAUAUCUCAAAGUAAGAUCGAGACUGUUUGUACUUAAUUAGUUUAUAAGUUCUACAUUUAAUAUAUAAACUCACUUCAACUAUUGUUUAAAUUUCAGGUAAUCCUCAGAGUUGAUCGUCGGUGUGUCGGAAGCUUGGUCAUAUUGUUUAAUUAACUUGUUAUGUUAUUUGGUUUUACGUUGUUACUAUCUUAUUGGGUUUGUAGAUUUUAAAUGCUGGAUUUUGUAUUUUGAUUAUAAACUUGUAAAUGUCUUAAGUUGAUUGAAGUCUAAUUAUUAAAGGUUGGAUUUUUUUUGAAAGAGUUGAUGUAGCUCUCCAUACUUGGUCAUAUCGUCUAAGUCAAUUUUGAGGUGUUACAUUUAGUAGUAUCAGAGCUAGGUUUACCAAAAAUCGGGCUGUGUUUUCUGGGCACCCGUUUUUAUGAAAACUAUGGUUUUGAAUAAAAUGUUUAUCUGAUUAAAUCUGAAAACUUAUUUUAUAAAAGACUGACUUUCUAGCGCCGAACCUGUAAGUACUUCUGCUUUAGCUAUAAUAAUUAGCUAAAAAAUAUUGUAGUAACUGGAAUUGUUGGCUUUGGUUAAAGAUUGUGAUAUAAACUGUGAAAUAAGAUAUUUGAUAAGAAUUUUGAACUGAUCUGUACACUUCUUACAUUGUAGAUAAGUUGAUAUAAUGAGUUUGCAAGGUAGCCGUAGAUAUGGUUCUCGUGGGCGUUGAGGACAAGCUCAAGUAGAGUCAUCCUCUAUGGUCAGUAUGCCCAAUCUAGAGAUCGAUGAGACUUUUGGUACUCCUACUACUGAGACUGGGUUUCAAACUUCGACAGCUAGGGAUGACGUAUUGUUCUAGACUAUGCUUCGUAUAUUAGAGAGGGUCGCUGGGAUCCAUUCUGGAUCUAAGAGCCGAGGGUCGGUCACUGAACGACUUCGAUCAAACGGUGUUAAGUUGUUUAGGGGUGUCACUAGAGUCGUCCUACAGUGGCCGAGUACUGGUUAGAGACCAUCGAGCGUAUUAUGAAUGGCAUUAACUGCACUCCUGUAUAGAAACCAAGGCAUGCCAUAUCUCUACUCCAAGAUAAGGCUUACCAGUGGUGGUUGACUGUUGAGUAGGGCGCCUAGUUCGAAAAAAUUACUUGGGAUUUCUUCAAGAAUGCCCUUCAGAGUAAGUAUAUGGGGACGAGUUAUAUGGAGACUCGUAGACGUGAGUUUAUAAGCUUAGUUUAGGGUGAGAGGUUUGUGGCCGAGUACGAGGCUAAGUUUCUGAGAUUGAGUAGGUACGCUUGCGGUUUGGUUCUGAACGACUAUGAGAGGAGUAUUUGGUUUGAAGAGGGACUAAUAUAUAAUUUGAGAGUUCUGAUAGCUCUUCAGAGGGAGCGGGUUUUUGCAGCCUUGGUUUACAAUGUGAAGAUAGUUGAGGAGAUGAAGCGCAUGAGAAUGAGAGGAGAGACCAACAGAGAGGUCAGAGUAAGCUCAAGAGGGAUUCGGGUCCUUUUAGCUCUGUGCAAUGGCCUAAGAAAUGAGUUAGAUUUGAUGGGCCUUUGAGGACUAAGACAUCAGCUGCAACGGCUGAGAUUCAGACCUAUAGUGAUUGUGGGAAUUGCUAUCCGGGUGAGUGUUGGAGGAAAUUGGGGGCUUGUCUUCGGUGCGAGUCGAUGGAGCAUUAUGUUCAGGACUGUUCCUUACAAUCUAAUCAAGAGUAAGCUUUUGUAUAGGCUCCAACUCUAGGUGUCAUUUAGCCGCUGAGAGUAGCCCAGUAGCCACCUAGGGGUCAUGGUAUAGUUAGGGGUGAUAAUGGCUCUGAUCAAGGUUAGAGAGUACCGAGCAGAUGUGUAGGUCAGAUUGAGGUAUGAUAGCCUGCCCUUGAGUAUACGACGAGGCAUCGUGAGGACAGAAACGACGCCAACUUUAUAGCCGGUACAUUCUUUAUUCACUAUGUUCAGUAUUUUGCUCUGAUAGAUAUUGGAUCCACUCACUCAUAUGUAGCUAGUACUGUUUCUGGGUAUAUUUGCUGAUAGUACUACUAGAGAUACUUAUGUAAUUAGUCCCUUGGGUUAGAUGGUCAUAGUUAAUAAAGUGUAUAGACGAGUUUUGUUAGAGAUUCAAAGUGUUGUGUUUCUGGCUAACCUGAUGAAAUUGUUGUUUGGAGAGUUUGAUCUGAUUCUAGGAAUGGAUUGGCUGGUGGAACAUUGAGUCAAUUUAGAUUGUGCCUCAAAAAGGGUAACUCUGAGAUUGGAUGAGGAUACCAAGAUCGUUAUAGUAAGUAAGUGUUGAAAUUACCUCUCUAAUGUAAUCUCUGCCUUUAUAGCUGAAAAGCUAGUUGGGAAAGGUUGUAAAGCAUACUUGGCCCUUGUUCUAAUUCUGUAAAACUUUCUAUUAAAGGCAUUUGUACUGUAAGAUACUUUUCAGAUGUUUUCCCUGAAGAGUUGUCGAGGAUACCUCCGGUCAGGGAAGUUGAGUUUGAUAUUGAAUUGCUACCCGGUAUUCGUGUCUAUUGCUCCUUACCACAUGGCACUAAAGGAGCUUAUGGAACUAAAGGUCCAGCUUUAGGAACUUCUCGAUCGAGGGUUCAUUAAGCCGAGUGUGUCUCUGUGGGAGCAUCGGUUUUAUUUGUGAAGAAAAAUGGUAGCACGAUAAAGAUGUGUGUGGAUUAUCGUCAGCUGCAUAAAUUGACGGUAAAAAACAUGUAUCCAUUUUCGAAGAUUGACGACAUGUUUAAUAAAUUUUGAAGAGCAUCUGUAUUCUACAAAAUCGAUCUUUAUUCUAGAUACCAUCAGCUCAAGGUUAAGGAGACCGAUGUGUACAAGACUGCUUUUAGAACUCGUUGAUUGAACUCUAAUUAUUAAAGGUUGGAUUUUUUUUGAAAGAGUUGAUGCAGCUUUCCAUACUUGGUCAUAUCGUCCAGGAAGGGUUUUGGGUGUUACAGAAAAGGUUCAAUGUAUGUUGUCGAAUGUUUGUUUACUGAAGUCGCUUUGGACUAAAGUGGCCUCUACUACAUGAUUUUUGACUAACUAGUCUCCAUUUGUUGUCAUUAAGAAAAAGACUCCACAAGAGGUAUGGUUUGGUAACCCUGCUGAUUAUUCUGAUUUUAAAAUUUUUGAGUGUCCCACGUAUACUCAUAUUGAUAAUGGGAAAUUGGAACCUAGAUUCAUUAAAUGUUUUUUUCUCUUAAUUAUAAUACUGGUGUUAAAGGGUAUAAGUUAUGGUGUCCUGAAAAUAGAAAAGUUGUGAUUAGUAGAGAUGUUAUUUUUUAUGAAACUGCUAUGCUACCUAACUUAUCUCUUAAAGACUCUUCCAAUAAAGACCAUAAAAAGUAGGUGGAGCUUCAGAUUGAUUUAGGAUCUAAAACAGUGUCUACUCCUCAAGUUAGUAUAGAAACUCAAAGUAGAGUUGUUUCUUCACCAUAAUAUUUUAUUGUCAAGAAUAGGCCUAGAAGAGAAAUUAAACCUCCAAAGAGGUACGUCGAAAUUGAUCUAGUUGCUUAUGCUUUAAAUGUGGCUGAAGAUAUAGAUGCAAAUCAAGAGCUAUCUACUUAUUCCAAGGCAGUUGGUUGUGAAGAUUCAGAGAAGUAGAUGAUUGUCAAACAAGAAGAGAUGGAAUCACUCCAUAAGAACAGACCAUGGGAUCUAGUUAAGCUUCCUAAAGGUAAAAAAGUUGUUCAAUGUAAAUGGGUGUUCAAAAAGAAAGAAAGAACUCCAGGAGUUGAAAACCUCAAAUUUAAAGCAAGGUUGGUUGCAAAAGGUUACAGUUAGAUUCCAGGUGUAGACUUCACAGAUGUGUUUUCUUUAGUUGUGAAACAUAGUUCGAUUCAAGCCUUACUUGGUAUUGUGUCCAUGUAUGAUUUAGAGCUUAAGCAGUUAGAUAUAAAAACAUCGUUCUUGUAUGGAGAACUUGAGGAAUAUAUUUACAUGCAACAACGAAAGGGUUUUACAGUCUCAGACAAGGAGGACUAUGUUUGCUUGUUGAAAAAGUUCUUUUAUGGGUUGAAACAAUCACCAAUGUAGUAGUACAAAAGGUUUGAUUCUUUUAUGACUACUCAUGAUUUCAAAAGAAGCAACUUUGACAGUUGUGUUUAUUUAAAAAAAAACAGUGAUGGUUUUUUUGUUUAUCUACUCCUCUAUAUUGAUAACAUUAGGAUAGCAGUCAAAAAUAAAUGAGAGAUAAGAAAUGUCAAAGCCUAGCUUAGUAAAUAAUUUGAAAUGAAUGGUUUAGGAGUAGCGAAGAAGAUACUUGGGAUAGAGAUUCUCAGAGAUAGAAAAUCAUGUAAAUUGUACCUAAGUCAGAAAGGGUACAUUGAGAAAGUUCUUUGUGGAUUCAAUAUGCAAAAUGCCAAGCCUAUUAAUACUACAUUAGCAACCCACUUUAGACUUUCAUCAGCUUUGUCUCCGUAAUCAGAUGAUGAGAUUGACUUCAUGUUACAUAUUCUAUAUUCUAGUGCAGUGGGGUCUCUCAUGUAUACUAUGGUUUGCUCACGUCCAGAUUUGUCAUAUACAGUUAAUGCAGUUAGUAGAUACAUGGCAAAUCCCGAUAAAGAACAUUGGAAAACAAUUCAGUGGAUUUUCAUAUACUUACGAAGUAUUAAUGAUGUUUGCAUAUAGUUUGGAAGAACUAGAGAUGAAGUCAUUGAGUAUGUUGAUUCUGAUUUUGCUAGAGACCUUGAUAAAAGAAGAUCUCUCACAGGGUAUGUCUUUACUAUUGGGGGUUGCACAAUCAGUUGGAAAGUCACUUUACAAACUACAAUUGCUUUGUCUACUACUGAAGCUGAGUACAUGAUGAUUACUAAGACUUGUAAAGAAGUUAUUUGGUUAAAGGGACUCUUUGGUGAACUCAGUAAAGACCUUCAGAUCAGUAUAGUGUUUUGUGACAGUUAGAGUACCAUAUUCCUUACGGAGGAUCAAAUGUUUCCUGAGAGAAUCAAGCACAGUGAUGUUAGGUAUCAUUUUGUGCGUGAUAUUAUUGCUCGUGGUAAUAUUGUUGUGAGCAAAAUUAGUAGUCAUGAAAAUCCUGCAGAUAUGAUGACUAAGUCACUUUCUAUAACCAAGUUUAAGCAUUGCUUAGACUUGCUUGGUGUUCGUUGUUGAAGAACACCCCUUAAGGUGUUUCGUGGAAGAGGUGGAGAACUUGUUCGUUGAGAAUUCGUGUAAAUGUGGAGAUUGUUAGAGUUGAGUGACUCGAAUCCUUGUUAAAAUAAAAUAUAAUGGUAAAAUAAAAUAAAAGUAAAGUUCAUAUAGAAUUAUACUUCUUUUAUUUUACAUUGAUUAGAAUAAGGUUUUUCAACUUUACUACACUUCAUCUAUUUGACAUUGAUUAGAAAAUGUUUUUUCAACCUAUAAAUAGAUGUAGUCUAAACUCUUCUUGUAUCAUUUGAAUUUGACAUUAGUGAAUUUUCUUCUCCUUUACCCGUGAUUUUUUCCCGAAAUGAUUUUCAUAUAAAAUUUGUGUUCUUAUUUUUUCUUUCUUUUUACUUUGCGAUCGUUUUAUAUUGUUAUUAUCGAUGUUAGUUUCUACAUAUACCAUAUGAGGUAAUAUUAAAUUGUAGUUAAAAAAUAAAAGUUAAACGUUAAGGUGAAUGAUGUGAUAUUUGUUAAAAAUAAAAGAGAUUUAUGAGUGAAUUAAAUUAAACAAAAAUAUAUAUUUACAUGUAAAAAAAAAGUUUUGAUAUUUUUGUUAUAAAAGUUUUUAAAAAUUUCAUAACCGAAUUUAUAAAGCUGUUACGUGCUUUUUAUUUAUUAGUUAUUAUAUUUUUAUUGUUUAAUACUAUUCGUGAAAUUUUUUAAUUUUACAGGCUGGUAAUAGAUAGAAUAAUAAACUUUAUAAAAUUUAAUCUUAAAAUAUAUAAAAUUAAAUUUAACCUAACACCUUCUUUUUACAAAAUUCAAGAACAUGUAAUACGUUAAGCUAAAACUGGUGGAUUUUGUCUCGAAACUCACACACAAAAUGGAAACACUGAUGGGCUAAUUAUUUUUCCAGGCUAAAGAUGGGCUAAUUUCAUUAAAUGAAAAUAAUGGGCCAAGCUCUAAUGUUAAUUCUUUUGCCCAUAGAUUCACCCUAUUGAACUAGCCAUACCAAGGAACCACAUGUAUUUGUCUUCUCCUGCAUAUAUGAUUAGGGAUGCUGGUCUACAUAAUCAUGACGGAUGUAUAUAACAACAAAAUUAAUGGUGUGGCACCUUGCAUUCAACUUAUCUAAAUAUGAGAUGUUAUAUUUAUUGUCGGAGCAAUUCAAAUUAUUAUCAUCUAUUUUCUUAAAGUUAAAUAAAUGAGCUUGACAUAAUUCAUAAAUAUUAUCUUGUACACAUGAAUGAGGUUAAACGAACCUACAUUGACUCACAAUCAUACGAGAUCGAGUAUGGAGUCAAGAUACGAAUCCUAAUUUAACUUUAUCAAAAUAGAGGGUUGUGUCUCGAGACAUGUUUUUCUUGUUUCAGACCUCUAGCUUUGAAGUAUGAUUUCUCGAGACAAUGUAGUUAAUGUCUCAAGACAAUGACCUUUAUGUUUUGAGACUUAUCUCUUCUGUUUUACACUCUUAAUUUUAAUGUUGUCUAUCUCGUGAUAAAGUACUAUAUAUGUUUUGAGAUUUGAUAAUAUGUGUCUCGAGACAUGUUUAUUAUAUAUUGAGACUACUGUCAUACAUGAAAUAAUGGAAAUUAUUAAGAAUAAAUAAAUAUAUGAAUGAAAUAAAGAGUGAAAUAAACAUUAGUGUUUAAAUUUUGAGUAACAUUGAUUUAAAAUUCCAUCUCAAACUCUAACCAUAUAUUCUUUUUAUUAUAAAAGAUUUGCAAUAGAUUGAGAAGAUUUAAUUAAGCUUACAAAUGAAAAAAAAAUAUUAAUAUUAUGAUUAUGAAAUUAAUACGAAAAAAAAAGUAAAAAAUAAGCAUGGUAAACUUUCUGCUGCUGGCAUCGUCACCGUAUUCAUUUGCAAUGAUAACCCUGAUAAAUAUUUUCCGACAUAAAUUAUAAAUAUUUGAGGUAUUAAAUUUAAUUUAAUCAUCGUAUUAAUAGGUUUAAUUAGAUGUUAUUUAAAUCAGAUUAAAAUUCAAUAUUUAAAGUAUUGUAUUCAAUGGUGAAGUUAGGAUUGGUAAGGGCAUUACUUUAAAAUGGAAUUUUUUUUAUUUAAUUCUCUUUAUAAUUUAUAAAAUUUUAAAUUAAUAAUGAUAAAAUUACACUUUGACCUUAAAAAUAAUAAAAAUUUAAUUUAAUCUCUUAAAAAUUAUAAAUAUAUACCAUUUAAUUUUUACCCAAAAAAAUUUCUCACCCUGACUGCAUCCCUAAUCAUAUAUGCAUAAGAACACAAGUACAUGUUCCUCGGUAAUGCUAGUUCAAUAGGGUAUUGUUGCAUUAGAUUUUGUGAAUCAAUGGUAGCCAGGCCCAUUAUUUUCUUUUAAUGAAAUUAGCUUGCGCCAUCUUUGGGCUUGAAAAAUCAUUAGCCCGUCAGAGUUUCCGGUUGUUUGUGUGUUUUGGAGACAAAAUCCAGCAGCUCUAGCUGAAUGUAUUACAUCUGUUCUUACCGAAUGACUUUCAGUUUGUCAUAAUGUAUCUUUAAUCAUAACAAUCAUAUGAAUCUUUGUUUUGCCUGUUCAUGGCAGUUUAUCUGGAUUUAGAAGUUCAGAUGGUAAUGGAAUUCCAGGGAUAUGUUUCCAUAUCAAGGAAUGUCAAAAACUCAAAAUUGAUGGGAAAAGAAAAGAGCUGCAAAACCCAGAUAAUUUGCAUGCAAUUCCAACUUGUGCAUCGAUGGACAUGCUUAUCCACAAAAGGCCAAGGCGAUGAGGCAUGAAAACUUCUAAAGUUGCUGCAUGUUUGAGAUUGUAAAUUUGUUGGUAAUCCCAUGAAGUCUUCAUGGAUUCUGAUUCUAGUACACCUCAUACUAACCAUGAGUCUAUUGGUUCUACCAAGUUUAAUUCUAUAACAGUGACUGUAACAAAGAAAACCGCAAUACUUGUUGAUGAGAGCAAUUAUUUGUUGGAAAAAUUCAGUUAAGAAAAUGGUUUGCAGUUAUAGCUGAAAUUUGAAAAGUUUAAAAAUUGAAUUGAUUUGUGAUCAAUACAACUUUUACUAAAAAGUAAAUGUGCUUUGUGCGAAUUCAUCCUCGUUUUCAACCAAACGACCUUCUCUACUAUCCUCAUUCUAUGAAUUACUUCAAGCGUGGGUUUGAGCAACACGAACUAAACAUAGAAUAAGGUAAUGAUAUUAUUACUUUUAGUAGGAAAAUGGAAAUCGGUAAAGAUUGUAAUUCUCAAAAAAUAGAAUUUAUUCUAAGUAAAUAAAUUACAACCAUUUUUUGGCAGAAUAAUAUUAUCUCUAUAACCAAAAAGUGUAUCUAUUGGGUCAACCGGUAUCAUCUAUUUAUCGGAAGAGAUAGAAGAAUAUUAGUUGAAUAAGGUUUAAACAAAUAAUAUUAUUUAAAUAAAAAACACACUCCAACUCCAACUGGAGCAGUAGUGGGUGGCACACCCUAAUAACAACUACUAGGGUUGCCACCCCUCUCAUGUACUGUGAGGGGAUUUGAGCUUCUCAUGUAUUGAGUCCAAUUAUGUGUGCUUCCUAGACUUUUGACCAAACAUUUUAUAAUUUAAUCUAACACAAUAUUCAUUUUAAAUUUCUCAAAAUAAAUGUUAAUUAAUUAAUUAAUAAAAUUAACUAAAUUAAUUUUCCAAUUAAAUAAUUUUCUUAACCUAAUUCUAAUUUCGUUAAAGUCAUAACAACUUUACCAUAAAAGAGACUAUUAAGAAAUCUAUUUAAUUUUCUUAUUCAAUGGAUUAAUGAUAACUAAUUAAUUUAAUUCUUCUUUCGAACUUCAAUAUUUAAUUAAAUAAAUAAUAAUUCAAAAAUUUUAAAUUAAUUCUCAAGUCAUUUCUAUACUUAGUGAAAAAACACUUUCAUUUGUGAAUGCGACUCAUUUCUCUAACUUCAUCAUUCCACUUCAUUUCUGUUUAUUUGGUUCUAUAUGCAAUUCAUUUCUAGUUUCAACGAGCUAGCAGAGGAACCAAUUGAACAUAUAUAAUUAAGGGUCAAAUAAUUCAUAACAAAGUUCCAUUUUUCGUCUAUUAAUUAUAAAUUUAUUUAGUCACGAAGUCAUUCCACUAUAGUAUCAUGACUGAGCUCUCCCUAAUUACACACCAUUACCAAAGCUACUUAAUAAGUGUCCGUCCAAUGACCUUGUUAUAAGUGUAUUACCCUCAUAGGGUUUCCUUAAUCUCUUUGGAAUAAAUUCGUUCUCUCAAUAUGAUCUUAUUUUAUUUCAUGGUAACCAUUACAUCUUCCUUUAUGAAAAAUCAAUUACUAUCAAACAGUAAUCAAGUCAUUUAUUACAAAGACAAAUGACUCGUGACCAAAUUUACUUUUCAUUUCAUUUAUCAUGUAAUUCCACUAAUGUAAAUGAUGCUACAUACUGUAGAAGUUCUAUACCCAACGCAUCAACUUUCGAUUCCUUAUCUAUUUGAAUUUAGGCUUUUACUUACAUCAAAGUAUAUGAGUCACACAUACAUAGUCCAUCAUACACUUAAGAUUAAGGUACGCCACACUAUGAACGUUACAAGUGAAUAAAUCCCUAAAUGAAUUUAGGAUCUAUUCAACUUGGGUCCUUGGUUAAGCUUUUUAACACCAUUUCAAUUUGUGUGUUCUGGUCCAAAUUGAAUUCAUUAUCUAUAGCCUCGACAAAGUAACUCAUAAACGUAAUCAUGUGGUAUUUGACCUGAGUACCGAGUUUUUGUUGGACAUUCAUCAAAGUAGUUAUAGUUGACAGUGAGCCAAGACAAUUUAGCCUCCAAACAUGUCCUCUAGUUUGACCAAUAUUGCUUUGGCAAAAUCACAACUCUCUAGUUGCUUAUAAAGAGUACUAGUCAUGCUUGCUAGCAUAUAGUAUUGAGUUAUCUUAUUAAAUUCUUUCUAGUGAUUUCUAACCUCAGCUUGGUUAGCCGGAGGACAUUUAUUAUCAAGAACUAGGGGUGUAAAUGAACAGAAUAUUCAAUGAACUGUUCGUGAACCGUUCAUAUAAUGUUUGUUUAUGUUCGUUUAUUAAGCUAAAUAAACGAGUAUGAAUACAAUUUUUAUGUUCGUUUAAUAAACGAAUGAACACGAACAGAGGUGUAUUCGGUUUGUUUAUGUUCACAAACAAACUAGUUUAUUGACUCGUUUAUUUAUUAAUGAUAUUUUCUUAUAAAAAUUUCAUUAGUAUAUAUUAAUAAAAUUAUCUUGGUUUGUAUUAUUUUUCAUUUAUAAUAUAAUUAUUAAUAUUUAUAUUUGACUAUUUUAUAUCUAAACAAUGUAUGUAUGUAUGUAUGUAUGUAUGUAUGUAUGUAUGUAUGUAUGUAUGUAUGUAUGUAUGUAUGUAUGUAUGUAUGUAUGUAUGUAUGUAUUUGUUUGUUUGUUUAUUAUUUAUUAACAUUGUUCGUGAACAUGUUUGUUUAAUGUUCGUGAACAUGUUCAAUUAAGUUAAAUGAACAUGUUCGUAAACAUUAAACAAAUGAACAUGAACAAAUGAACAUGAACACACAUAAUUUUAAAUAAACGAACAUGAACAAAAAUUUAAUAUUCUUAACGAACAUAAACUGAACAUGAAUAAACUUAAAAAUAAACAACCGAAUAUGAAUAGAAGUUUGUUCAUUCAAGCUUGGUUCAUUUAUAACCCUAUCAAGAACCGUCUUGAGUUUCUCACAGCUUAAGACAAUCAUGAGAUUCAUUUUCCAUUCAUUAUAGUUAUGUUCGUUCCAUUUGUUAAUAAUGUAAAAAUUCAAAAUUAUUUUAAUCUAUCAGAACCUACUCAGCUUGAUCCGAGCCUAAAUCUAAAAAAGUUUAAUCCCAAAAAAAUCUAAAUCCGAAGAAAGCCCAAUCCGAGCCCACCCAAGCCCUCCCAUUUGCCCCUACUUGAAAUCUAUUUAAGAUUGGAGGGACCCCAUGGCUUAACUUUUGUAGUCCAACCAACAUAAACGUUAUCAUGCUGGCUAACCAUGAGCAUUGGUAACCAUAGCCAAUGGUUACUACAGUGGCACAUACUCCGGAAACACACUUGCAAAUCUACAAAGACCUAGAAACUGUAUAAAUGAGCAAUCAUUCAACUUCUUUUUUAGAUUCCUUGGUACUCGAUUCUCGGAGACAGACGAUCACAUGUGAAAUAGAACAGCUGCUGUUUGGCUAGGAGGUCUCAGAAAAUUUACCAAUUAUAUAGCAUAAGAUCCUUAUCAAAGGGUAAAACGUACAAGGGACCAUUAUCCUACAUUGAUAAGUGGCUAGUUGCGUGAUCCAUCCAUGUGAUAAAUUCUCAAUUUAUGGACAUGAAUAUGUGACAAUCAUGUCCCCCUCAGUACCAAAAUCUCGAGAGCCCACCACAUGUCAGGCAUUGAGAGAAGGGUGAGUGGCAGGGGGACCAUACUCAAACAUUGGUCCUUUUUUAUGAUGCAUUGAAUAAUCCAAUCAAAUUAUUAAUGUCAAUUUUCAAUCCAAAGUGACUCUUGGCCAUGUAUCAAACCACAUGAUAAGAGCAAUAAAAGAUAACACGGUUACGAAAAUUCAUAUUAUCAUAUCUAUUUCCACAAAAGAGGUGCUUGGUUCAAGAGUGAGCUACAAACAUGAGCGCCAUCGGAAAAUAAAUGAGAAAAAAAGAAGCAUAAUAUACCAAAGCAUAAACCAUCAUACAACCGUUACAAUCUGUGACUACAGUAACCACAGCUUUUAUGAAUACGACAGAGAAAGGGAAAAUGGUCCUAAAGUUCUAAGAACCAAAGCUUUGUUCCACUUUUCUCUCCUCAACUUCUUCACUUGUAUUCCAAAAUCAUGUUGUUUUCAGGAGCCAAGCCAAUGCUGGCCCUUAGUAUGUUCUCCAGCAUUGCACGCUGCUUGGACAGUGCGUUCACCACCGGUGUGCCUGGUGGAACCUGUUUUUUGCCAAAACAAUGUCAGCUCUCAGUAAAUUUCUUCACAGAUUUCUGGUUCAAGUGAUUGUCAUGAUUCUAUUCACAUUCUUGAACUGAAAUUUGACAUAAAGUUCACAAACUUUAAUUCAAUACUGUGUCCCCUCUCACCAGUUGCUUCAUGUGAAAUAGAAUGAAGCAGCUUUACAUAAAAUCAUUGAUGGUCACAUGAAAUAUAUCACAAAGAGGCACCAUAAAGUGAAUUUGCGAUUCCUUGUUUCCCACUUAAACUAUAAACAGUUGAGUUACCAUUUAAUUCAAGACAAUAAUAUCAAUGUUUUAUUGGUGAAGGUGUCACCCCUCCCCACCCCCAUUUUAUUAUUAAUUAUUUGCGAUUCCUGGUUUCCCACUUAAACUAUAAACAGUUGAGUUACCAGUUAAUUCAAGACAAUAAUAUCAAUGUUUUAUUGGUGAAGGUGUCACCCCUUCCCACCCCUGUUUUAUUAUUAAUUAUUAUUAUAUUUUUAGUAGGCCAGAGUUACAGGAAAAGACGAAGGGAUGCUUUGGACUCACAAGAGGGGCUUUGGUGAGGUAACUGAGGAUUGUAGCCACAGGAUGGAAAGAGUGGAACUUGCC
rnacentral:lncRNA from 1 species